rnacentral:rRNA from 1 species
UACGUAGGGACCAAGCGUUGUUCGGAAUUACUGGGCGUAAAGGGCUCGUAGGUGGCCAACUAAGUCAGACGUGAAAUCCCCAGGCUCAACUUGGGAACUGCGUCUGAUACUGGAUGGCUUGAAUUCGGGAGAGGGAUGCAGAAUUCCAGGUGUAGCGGUGAAAUGCGUAGAUAUCUGGAGGAAUACCGGUGGCGAAGGCGGCAUCCUGGACCGACAUUGACGCUGAACGGCGAAAGCUAGGGGAGCAAACGGG